rnacentral:rRNA from 1 species
GACGAACGCUGGCGGCGUGCUUAACACAUGCAAGUCGAACGGAAAGGCCCUGCUUUUGUGGGGUGCUCGAGUGGCGAACGGGUGAGUAACACGUGAGUAACCUGCCCUUGACUUUGGGAUAACUUCAGGAAACUGGGGCUAAUACCGGAUAGGAGCUCCUGCUGCAUGGUGGGGGUUGGAAAGUUUCGGCGGUUGGGGAUGGUCUCGCGGCUUAUCAGCUUGUUGGUGGGGUAGUGGCUUACCAAGGGUUUGACGGGUAGCCGGCCUGAGAGGGUGACCGGCCACAUUGGGACUGAGAUACGGCCCAGACUCCUACGGGAGGCAGCAGUGGGGAAUAUGGCACAGUGGGCGGAAGCCUGAUGCAGCAACGCCGCGUGCGGGAUGACGGCCUUCGGGUUGUAAACCGCUUUCGCCUGUGACGAAGCGUGAGUGACGGUAAUGGGUAAAGAAGCACCGGCUAACUACGUG